CAGGGAAUAGUUUAAUUAAAAAUAUUAGUUUUGGAGGCUAAUGAAAUAAGGGACACUUAUUUUUCUGA
rnacentral:tRNA from 1 species